rnacentral:rRNA from 1 species
GACGGAGGAUGCAAGUGUUAUCCGGAAUCACUGGGCGUAAAGCGUCUGUAGGUGGUUUAAUAAGUCAACUGUUAAAUCUUGAGGCUCAACCUCAAAAUCGCAGUCGAAACUAUUAGGCUAGAGUAUAGUAGGGGUAAAGGGAAUUUCCAGUGGAGCGGUGAAAUGCGUAGAGAUGUGGAGGAACACCGAUGGCGAAGGCAGCCCCCUGGGUCGAAGAUUGACGCUCAUGGCACGAAAGCGUGGGAGCAAACAGG